rnacentral:rRNA from 1 species
ACUCCUACGGGAGGCAGCAGUGGGGAAUUUUGGACAAUGGGCGAAAGCCUGAUCCAGCAAUGCCGCGUGAGUGAAGAAGGCCUUCGGGUUGUAAAGCUCUUUUGUCAGGGAAGAAACGGUGAGAGCUAAUAUCUUUUGCUAAUGACGGUACCUGAAGAAUAAGCACCGGCUAACUACGUGCCAGCAGCCGCGGUAAUACGUAGGGUGCAAGCGUUAAUCGGAAUUACUGGGCGUAAAGCGUGCGCAGGCGGUUUUGUAAGUCUGAUGUGAAAUCCCCGGGCUCAACCUGGGAAUUGCAUUGGAGACUGCAAGGCUAGAAUCUGGCAGAGGGGGGUAGAAUUCCACGUGUAGCAGUGAAAUGCGUAGAUAUGUGGAGGAACACCGAUGGCGAAGGCAGCCCCCUGGGUCAAGAUUGACGCUCAUGCACGAAAGCGUGGGGAGCAAACAGGAUUAGAAACCCCUGUAGUCCCAUGAU